UCGACGGUUAAGCAUCUUCGGAUGUGUAUAAAGUGGCGAACGGCUGAGUAACACGUGGGCAACCUGCCCUUUGCACUGGGAUAGCCUCGGGAAACCGAGGUUAAUACCGGAUACUCCAUAUUUGUCGCAUGGCGAAUAUGGGAAAGCUCCGGCGGCAAAGGAUGGGCCCGCGGCCUGUUAGCUAGUUGGUGGGGUAGUGGCCUACCAAGGCAAUGAUGGGUAGCCGGGUUGAGAGACCGACCGGCCAGAUUGGGACUGAGACACGGCCCAGACUCCUACGGGAGGCAGCAGUGGGGAAUCUUGCACAAUGGGCGAAAGCCUGAUGCAGCGACGCCGCGUGCGGGAUGAAGGCCUUCGGGUUGUAAACCGCUUUCAGCAGGGACGAGGCCGCAAGGUGACGGUACCUGCAGAAGAAGCCCCGGCUAACUACGUGCCAGCAGCCGCGGUAAUACGUAGGGGGCAAGCGUUAUCCGGAUUCAUUGGGCGUAAAGCGCGCGUAGGCGGUCUGUUAGGUCAGGAGUUAAAUCUGGGGGCUCAACCCCUAUCCGCUCCUGAUACCGGCAGGCUUGAGUCUGGUAGGGGAAGAUGGAAUUCCAAGUGUAGCGGUGAAAUGCGCAGAUAUUUGGAAGAACACCGGUGGCGAAGGCGGUCUUCUGGGCCAUGACUGACGCUGAGGCGCGAAAGCUAGGGGAGCGAACAGGAUUAGAUACCCUGGUAGUCCUAGCUGUAAACGAUGGACACUAGGUGUGGGGAGAUUAUACUUUCCGUGCCGCAGCUAACGCAUUAAGUGUCCCGCU
rnacentral:rRNA from 1 species